UACGUAGGUGGCAAGCGAUACUCGGAAUCACUAGGCGUAAAGCGCAGGUAGGAGGUUUAGUAAGUCUGUUGUGAAAGCUCCCGGCUUAACUGGGAGAGGUCAACGGAAACUGCUAGGCUAGAGUGCGGUAGAGGUAGCUGGAAUUCCCGGUGUAGCGGUGAAAUGCGUAGAUAUCUGGAGGAACACCGGUGGCGAAGGCGGCAUUCUGGACCAACACUGACGCUGAGGAGCGAAAGCCAGGGGAGCAAACGGG
rnacentral:rRNA from 1 species